rnacentral:snRNA from 1 species
UUGCUUUGGCAGCACAUAUGCUAAAAUUGGAACAAUAUAGAGAAGAUUAGUAUGGCCCCUGAGCAAGGAUGACAUGCAAAUUCAUGAAGGGUUUCAUUUUAAA